rnacentral:rRNA from 1 species
AUACGGAGGGUGCAAGCGUUAAUCGGAAUUACUGGGCGUAAAGCGCACGUAGGCGGUUUAGUAAGUCGGAUGUGAAAGCCCAGGGCUCAACCUUGGAAUUGCAUUCGAUACUGCUUAACUAGAGUAUGGUAGAGGGAAGUGGAAUUUCCGGUGUAGCGGUGAAAUGCGUAGAUAUCGGAAGGAACACCAGUGGCGAAGGCGACUUCCUGGGCCAAUACUGACGCUGAGGUGCGAAAGCGUGGGGAGCAAACAGGAUUAGAUACCCCAGUAGUCC